rnacentral:lncRNA from 1 species
UAAAGUUAAAGCAGAAUAUGCCAGCACCUUUUGCCAGGAUAUUUUCAGCAAGGAUCUUGUAUGCAAAAAACAAGCUAAGAGCAAAUGGCUGAGUUCUUUCCAGAAACUGCAUAAGAUAUUUCAGGAAUAUGCUCCAGUUGCUCUCAGCCAAGAAACUGCCACCACACUACUUAAAAACAGCUUUGUCACACUAAUAUGAGAUGAGUGUUAGCUGGGGAAAGGAUGGAAUCAACCCCAUCAGCAACAGAUCCCAUGCCUACUAUUUUGAACACCUGUGCAGUGACUUUCAGAAAAUUUGUCAUCACCCACUUCAACAGAUGACCUGUUCAAAGAAUUUCCCUGAGGGGCUGGACGAAAGGAAAAGAAAGCAAGUAUAUAGAGCUUAUAGUGAAGAAGAGAUUCUGGAGCACGUCCAGCAUUGUCAAGCACUGAAUUUGAAGUGCUGAUUAAGGAGUUUGCCUUGUUGCUGGAAUUUGCUACAGAGGCGAAAGCACUGUUGAUAAGUCUGGAUGGUGUAGAUGAGUUGUCAGAGGAGUAUGGAGCUGACUUUUCCUGGAUACUCACUGAGCUACCUGAAAAUGUCUAUUUUAUUGUUUCUACAUCUACAGAAUCAAACUGCUCAUCUUUGAAAACACUGCAAGUAAAAUAAUGCAUCUAAUAAUGAAUUUAAUGGUGUUAAUAUUUAGCAUGUGAUACUUGUUUUUAAAUUUUUGUUUUACGUAUUUUUUUUUUAUUAAAGGAAUAAUGAGAUGUGGUUAUAAUUGUUUGAAAAACUUUCCUAAUCAAAACAAACAGUUAAAAAAGAAAAAGAGAUAAUAUAAAACCAUCUCUAUCCUGAUCCCCACACCACUAAAGAAAUCAUUCCAAUUAUUU